rnacentral:rRNA from 1 species
GACGAACGCUGGCGGCGUGCUUAACACAUGCAAGUCGAACGGAAAGGCCCUGCUUUUGUUGGUUGCUCGAGUGGCGAACGGGUGAGUAACACGUGAGUAACCUGCCCUUGACUUUGGGAUAACUUCACGAAACUGGGGCUAAUACCGGAUAGGAUCUCCUGCUGCGUGUUGGGGGUUGGAAAGUUUCGGCGGUUGGGGAUGGACUGGCGGCUUAUCAGCUUGUUGGGGGGGUAGUGGCUUACCAAGGCUUUGACGGGUAGCCGGCCUGAGAGGGUGACCGGCCACAUUGGGCCUGAGAUACGGACCAGACUCCUACGGGAGGCAGCAGUGGGGAAUAUUGCACAAUGGGGGGAAGCCUGAUGCAGCAACGUCGCGUGCGGGAUGCCGGCCUUCGGGUUGUAAACCGCUUUCGCCUGUGACGAAGCGUGAGUGACGGUAAUGGGUAAAGAAGCACCGGCUAACUACGUG